GGCCCAUCCUCCAAGGCUAAAUACUCCUGACUGACCGAUAGUGAACCAGUACCGUGAGGGAAAGGCGAAAAGAACCCCGGCGAGGGGAGUGAAAAAGAACCUGAAACCGUGUACGUACAAGCAGUGGGAGCACGCUUAGGCGUGUGACUGCGUACCUUUUGUAUAAUGGGUCAGCGACUUAUAUUCUGUAGCAAGGUUAACCGAAUAGGGGAGCCGAAGGGAAACCGAGUCUUAACUGGGCGUUAAGUUGCAGGGUAUAGACCCGAAACCCGGUGAUCUAGCCAUGGGCAGGUUGAAGGUUGGGUAACACUAACUGGAGGACCGAACCGACUAAUGUUGAAAAAUUAGCGGAUGACUUGUGGCUGGGGGUGAAAGGCCAAUCAAACCGGGAGAUAGCUGGUUCUCCCCGAAAGCUAUUUAGGUAGCGCCUCGUGAAUUCAUCUCCGGGGGUAGAGCACUGUUUCGGCAAGGGGGUCAUCCCGACUUACCAACCCGAUGCAAACUGCGAAUACCGGAGAAUGUUAUCACGGGAGACACACGGCGGGUGCUAACGUCCGUCGUGAAGAGGGAAACAACCCAGACCGCCAGCUAAGGUCCCAAAGUCAUGGUUAAGUGGGAAACGAUGUGGGAAGGCCCAGACAGCCAGGAUGUUGGCUUAGAAGCAGCCAUCAUUUAAAGAAAGCGUAAUAGCUCACUGGUCGAGUCGGCCUGCGCGGAAGAUGUAACGGGGCUAAACCAUGCACCGAAGCUGCGGCAGCGACGCUUAUGCGUUGUUGGGUAGGGGAGCGUUCUGUAAGCCUGCGAAGGUGUGCUGUGAGGCAUGCUGGAGGUAUCAGAA
rnacentral:rRNA from 1 species